AAUUUUGGACAAUGGGGGCAACCCUGAUCCAGCCAUCCCGCGUGUAUGAUGAAGGCCAUCGGGGUGUAAAGUACUCUUGGCAUAGAAGAACAUGCAUCCCCUCAUACCGCCUACUGCUGCCGGUCCCGGCCGUAUAAGCACCGCCUACCUACGUUCCAGCAGCCGCGGUAAUACGUAGGGUGCAAGCGUUAAUCGGAAUUACUGGGCGUAAAGCGUGUGUAGGCGGUUCGGAAAGAAAGAUGUGAAAUCCCAGGGCUCAACCUUGGAACUGCAUUUUUAACUGCCGAGCUAGAGUAUGUCAGAGGGGGGUAGAAUUCCACGUGUAGCAGUGAAAUGCGUAGAUAUGUGGAGGAAUACCGAUGGCGAAGGCAGCCCCCUGGGAUAAUACUGACGCUCAGACACGAAAGCGUGGGGAGCAAACAGG
rnacentral:rRNA from 1 species